UACGUAGGGGGCAAGCGUUGUCCGGAUUUAUUGGGUGUAAAGAGCGUGUAGGCGGCCAUGCAGGUCCGUUGUGAAAACUCGAGGCUCAACCUCGAGACGCCGAUGGAAACCGCAUGGCUAGAGUCCGGAAGAGGAGAGUGGAAUUCCCGGUGUAGCGGUGAAAUGCGCAGAUAUCGGGAAGAACACCCGUGGCUAAGGCGGCUCUCUAGUACGGUACUGACGCUGAGACGCGAAAGCGUGGGGAGCGAACAGG
rnacentral:rRNA from 1 species